GGCUGUUGCAAAGGUAGAGAGGGAGAAGUGACGAUGGUGAUCGUUGCUGCCGCGGCCGAUAUGGAACCCAAGCAGUGGCGAAGGGAAUCGCAAGGCUCUUCCCUGACCAUUUUCUACUGUCCCUGCGCGAGGUGAGGGCCCCGGCUCGGCCUCUGCAAAACUUUGGGGCGCUGGCGCGGAGGAGGAGACAGGAUUUCUCCCGUGACUUUUGUAACUGCGUCAGGGCAAGAUGGCGCUGGGUCUCUUUGGGGCGCGGGGGGAGAGGCACGUCCACCGCCGCAGCGCAUGUGACCGGGCUGCAUUCCUGUGGGGUUUGGCUCCGACCCAGGCCGGGGCGGGGGAGGGGACAGGGCUUGGGCGGAGGAGACUGUGGUGCGGUCGGCGUUGGCGGCCUGAAGAGGAAGAGAUGACUGUUGGAAAGCGUUCCCCUCCCCCAUACGGCAGAACAGCUGCGGCUCCCAGGGGAAAGCCCCCGCAGGACAGUCCUCGUGGGGUGUGACGGCUGUUGGUGGAGAAGGUUUGGCGCCCUAUUUUCUUAUCUGCCUUUCUCCCCGCAAAGUAUACUUAUGUAAGGUGGUAGUUCCCUGACGUGGGACUCGGAAUCAACUAGGAGUCCUUGAGGGCCUCUGGGAGGCCUAGCGAGGGGUAGACCAGCUUCUGGGGGUACAACGUCAAGGAGGAUCGAUUACUUUCUGAGGAAACAGUUUCUCAGAUUGAAAUAGAAAAGUAUUUCCAAAGUUUGGAAACAAAUUUAAAGGUGUAAAUAACACCCAGGAACACUUUAAUUGCUUUGAAAAGGCAUAAGCAGCCAUCUGAAUUUAAGGGCCCUUUUCAGACUCUUCCUUCCUCCUGUGAUUCCUGUUCUUUAUUUCAGUUUUCUGUCUGUACAUCCCUUAAGAAUAUAGUUUUGUCGGUGGGAUUCGCUCUUUUGUGCCCAGGCUGGAGUGCAGAGGCGAGAUCUCGGCCCACUGCAACCUCCGCCUCCCCGGGUUCAGGCGAGUCUCCUGCCUCAGCCUCCCAGGUAGCUGGGAUUACAGGCGCCCACAACCACACCCUGCUAAUUUUUUCUAUUUUUAGUAGAGACGGGGUUUCACCCCAUUGACCAGGCUGGUCUCGAACUCUCGAGAUCCGCCCGUCUCAGCUUCCCAAAGUGCUGGGAUUAUAGGCAUGAGCCACCGCGCCGGGCCUGCUUUUUUUUUUUUUUUUUUUUUUUGCACUGGGCAUUAGUAAUACGGAAUAAAAGCCGUGUUUUAAACUGUAUUAAGUUGUAAGACUUUUCAGUACUUUCAAGUCUGCUUUCUUUCUGUUGCCCUUUUGUAGUUUUUAAAAAUAAAAGAUGCAAUUAUAAGCA
rnacentral:lncRNA from 10 species